rnacentral:rRNA from 1 species
UGUGUGUUAGUGGAAGCGUCUGGAAAGGCGCGCGAUACAGGGUGACAGCCCCGUACACAAAAAUGCACAUGCUGUGAGCUCGAUGAGUAGGGCGGGACACGUGGUAUCCUGUCUGAAUAUGGGGGGACCAUCCUCCAAGGCUAAAUACUCCUGACUGACCGAUAGUGAACCAGUACCGUGAGGGAAAGGCGAAAAGAACCCCGGCGAGGGGAGUGAAAAAGAACCUGAAACCGUGUACGUACAAGCAGUGGGAGCACGCUUAGGCGUGUGACUGCGUACCUUUUGUAUAAUGGGUCAGCGACUUAUAUUCUGUAGCAAGGUUAACCGAAUAGGGGAGCCGAAGGGAAACCGAGUCUUAACUGGGCGUUAAGUUGCAGGGUAUAGACCCGAAACCCGGUGAUCUAGCCAUGGGCAGGUUGAAGGUUGGGUAACACUAACUGGAGGACCGAACCGACUAAUGUUGAAAAAUUAGCGGAUGACUUGUGGCUGGGGGUGAAAGGCCAAUCAAACCGGGAGAUAGCUGGUUCUCCCCGAAAGCUAUUUAGGUAGCGCCUCGUGAAUUCAUCUCCGGGGGUAGAGCACUGUUUCGGCAAGGGGGUCAUCCCGACUUACCAACCCGAUGCAAACUGCGAAUACCGGAGAAUGUUAUCACGGGAGACACACGGCGGGUGCUAACGUCCGUCGUGAAGAGGGAAACAACCCAGACCGCCAGCUAAGGUCCCAAAGUCAUGGUUAAGUGGGAAACGAUGUGGGAAGGCCCAGACAGCCAGGAUGUUGGCUUAGAAGCAGCCAUCAUUUAAAGAAAGCGUAAUAGCUCACUGGUCGAGUCGGCCUGCGCGGAAGAUGUAACGGGGCUAAACCAUGCACCGAAGCUGCGGCAGCGACACUGUGUGUUGUUGGGUAGGGGAGCGUUCUGUAAGCCUGUGAAGGUGUGCUGUGAGGCAUGCUGGAGGUAUCAGAAGUGCGAAUGCUGACAUAAGUAACGAUAAAGCGGGUGAAAAGCCCGCUCGCCGGAAGACCAAGGGUUCCUGUCCAACGUUAAUCGGGGCAGGGUGAGUCGACCCCUAAGGCGAGGCCGAAAGGCGUAGUCGAUGGGAAACAGGUUAAUAUUCCUGUACUUGGUGUUACUGCGAAGGGGGGACGGAGAAGGCUAUGUUGGCCGGGCGACGGUUGUCCCGGUUUAAGCGUGUAGGCUGGUUUUCCAGGCAAAUCCGGAAAAUCAAGGCUGAGGCGUGAUGACGAGGCACUACGGUGCUGAAGCAACA